rnacentral:rRNA from 1 species
CCUCAGUAACGGCGAGUGAAGCGGUAACAGCUCAAAUUUGAAAUCUGGGCCCCUCGGGCCCCGAGUUGUAAUUUGGAGAAGAUGCUUCGGGUGCGGCGCCGGUCUAAGUUCCUUGGAACAGGAUGUCAUAGAGGGUGAGAAUCCCGUAUGUGAUCGGCUGCCUGCGCCCGUGUGAAGCUCUUUCGACGAGUCGAGUUGUUUGGGAAUGCAGCUCAAAAUGGGUGGUAUAUUUCAUCUAAAGCUAAAUAUUGGCCAGAGACCGAUAGCGCACAAGUAGAGUGAUCGAAAGAUGAAAAGCACUUUGGAAAGAGAGUUAAACAGUACGUGAAAUUGUUGAAAGGGAAGCGCUUGCGACCAGACUUGCGCGGGGCCGAUCAUCCGGGGUUCUCCCCGGUGCACUCGGCCUCGCUCAGGCCAGCAUCGGUUCUGGUGGCUGGAUAAAGGCCUUGGGAAUGUAGCUUCUCUCGGGGAGUGUUAUAGCCCUCGGCGCAAUGCAGCCUACCGGGACCGAGGACCGCGCUUCGGCUAGGAUGCUGGCGUAAUGGUCGCAAGCGACCCGUCUUGAAACACGGACCAAGGAGUCUAACAUCUAUGCGAGUGUUUGGGUGUCAAACCCAUCCGCGUAAUUAACGUGAACGGAGGUGAGAGCCCUUAAGGGUGCAUCACCGACCGGUCCUGAUGUCUUCGGAUGGAUCUGAGUAAGAGCAUAGCUGUUGGGACCCGAAAGAUGGUGAACUAUGCCUGAAUAGGGUGAAGCCAGAGGAAACUCUGGUGGAGGCUCGCAGCGGUUCUGACGUGCAAAUCGAUCGUCAAAUUUGGGUAUAGGGGCGAAAGACUAAUCGAACCAUCGGGACCUACUAGGUGGUUAAGA